rnacentral:tRNA from 11 species
GCCCUCGUGGUGCAACGGAUAGCACGUGAGAUUCCGGUUCUUAAGAUGUGGGUUCGAUUCCUGCCGAGGGCGCUA